UCAUUUUUGUGCAUAUGCAAGC
rnacentral:miRNA from 21 species